UACGUAGGCAGCAAGCGUUGUUCGGAAUUACUGGGCGUAAAGAGUGUGUAGGCGGUGCUCUAAGUUCGGUGUGAAAUCUCCCGGCUUAACUGGGAGGGUGCGCCGGAAACUGGAGUGCUCGAGCGUGGGAGAGGAAAGCGGAAUUCCUGGUGUAGCGGUGAAAUGCGUAGAUAUCAGGAGGAACACCGGUGGCGAAGGCGGAUCUCUGGGCCGUAACUGACGCUGAGGAGCGAAAGCAUGGGGAGCGAACAGG
rnacentral:rRNA from 1 species